ACAUGCAGGCAAAACAGCCAUAUAUAACAUAAAAAUAAAUAUGUCUUCACAUGUGUGUCAGUACAUGGAGGAGAGGAAAUGUGCUGUCUACACUCAGUGUUCUGACCUCUGAACAACUGAAUGUUUAGUAAAAUUCU